ACUCCUAUGACGCAGUGGCUAGCGUGUCGUUCUUAUAUCGUUACCCGAAAGGGACCGGUAUGGCUUCUGCCUCAAUGAGAAAUGCGAAAGUCGUGAGUUCGACCCUCACUAGGAGUA